rnacentral:tRNA from 1 species
CAAGGAAUAGUUUAAUAAGAAUAAUAAUUUUGGAGAUUAUUGGUAGUUUAUACUUUCUUUGA